rnacentral:lncRNA from 1 species
GAGAGCCGGGCGGUGUUCUGGGUCGGCUGCGGGCGCGGUGCGAGUGUCUCGGCGUAGGAGGGCAGGGCGGCCGGCCCCUCCCACUCCGCCUUUUCUCGAGUGUCCAUACCCGGGCCUGGCAGCGGGCGCCGGGCUGCGGGCGAGUGUGCGCGGCGACCCGGGGCACCGAAGGCGGUGGGUGUGCGAGGACCGCGGCUGACCUGUUGGCGUCAUGCGCGCCCUCCAGGGUCUGCGGGGGCCUCGGGCGCCGUCCCUGCCGCUGCUCCUCCUGUGCUUCCUCGCCGCGGUGCGCCGGAGCUUGGAGGACGGCCUCUCCACAGCUGCACCUUUUACAAGUCUACCUGUCCAGGAAGAAAUGAUGACAGAGUACUCUAAUCUUUCUUUGGAGAGUCAUAACCUAUCAGUGACUGAACGCCCCAAUAUGCCAGCAGAAAAAAAUAUCACUUUAGAAAGACCUUCUAAUGUAGAACUCACAUGCCAAUUCACACCAUCUGGAAAUUUGAAUGCAGUAAAUGUGACUUGGAAAAAAGGUGAUAAACUACUUGAGGAUAAUUAUCUCGUCAAUGCAACGGGAAGUAUCCUAUAUACCCAAUAUAGGGUCGCCGUCAUUAACAGCAAACAGAUGGGAAGCUAUUCUUGUUUCUUUGGAGAGAAAAAGCAACAAAGGGGCACAUUUAAUUUGAAAGUUCCUGAAAUUAAUGGAAAAAACAAACCACUGAUCACUUACGUGGGGGAUACAGUUGUUUUGAUAUGUAAAUGUCAAGAUUGUCUUCCUUUAAAUUGGACCUGGUACAGUGGCAAUGGGAGUGUACAGGUUCCUAUUGGUGUUCCAGUGAAUGAUAAGUAUGUGAUCAGUGGAAAACAUGCUAAUGAAACAAGGCUGAAGAUAACGCAACUUUCAGAGGACGAUCAGGGAACCUACUGGUGCCAUGCAAUAUUCGAGUUAGGGGAGAGUGAAGGACACGUUGAACUCGUCGUGCUCAGCUAUUUGGUACCCCUUAAAGCAUUUUGUGCAAUAGCUGCCGAGGUUGUUCUCUUAGUGGCUAUUAUUCUGCUUUUUGAAAUGUAUACUCAAAAGAAAAAGAAGCCCUCAGAUGAUGGGAAAGAAAUCGAACAAGGUGAACAGCUGAAAUUGGAUGAUAGCAAUGGUAUAGAAAACAGCGGCCCUAGGCACAGAAAAAAUGAAUCCGUGGGCCAGUGAGUGACAAACAUCAUGUCAGGAGUCACAGGAAGACAUACAGAGAGUUUGCAUUUCAGCUUUAUUUCUGCUUCUUGUUAAGAACGUGUGACAUUUUUUACUUUUAAAAGGAUGAAAAGUUUAUGUAAAAUGCUCAGUAGUAGCUUUGUAAAUAAUAUAUGCAAUUUCAGAUCUACAGAUAUAUUUUCAUUCUAUAUUUUGCACUAAAGCAAGGUAAAUUAUAUUAAGUUUGUGCUAUGAGCUAUAACCCAGGAUAAUUAAUUUCAUUCCAGUCCUUAAGGGACACGCAGAACGACACCAGCAAAACCAAAUAGUACACAGAGUGAAUGUCACUCAAGACCUGUUUAUUACCAAAGAAUUCAUUAAAUACAAAGCUUUGCCAUUUGUCUUAAAAAGGUUUUUUCCCCAAUCAUGUUUACUAGGUGAAGUGUUUGUAAUAAUUCCCUGUAAAGUUUAUUCAAUUCAGUCAUAUUGAAAAGAAGUGUUAUCAAGGGGAAAUUAGCACUUUCUACCUCUGUUAAUGAUGGUUACUGUGCAGUUACCACAAGGAAAACAUACUUUUCCUAUGAAAACAUUGGUUGAAGGCAAAGAAAUAAAACCAUACACUUGCCCA